GGGGUGCGGACAGCAAACACAAUGGACCUUGGGCCCUAACCAAUUCUGAACAUUGAAAUGGAGGUAAGACGGAAACUCCCAGGGUCAAAAUCCCUAAUCGCGUCGUUUGUUCCUCAAACACGCCGUCGUCGAUGACGCAGCCGGAACCCGAAUCACAUGAAGCUCAACAAUGGCGAGCAAAAAAACUUCCCCAAUCUCUGGUGCAACGGCCGCGACUCUCAAAUGAGUUCGACCAUCACUCGCAAUCGCGAAUUCAAGCGCUUCAUCUUCUGCACAUGCGUACCAGUGUUGGCUUUGCAAGAUUAUUCUAGGAGUGUGCUCAAAGUCACGUUCCGGAAUUCGAGAUGAAGAUGAAAAUGAGUCAAUCGUUCAAUCUUCAUCUCUGCUUCACCUGGCCUACAUGAAUCCAGGAUGAAGACUAGAGGAGUGAGAACUCACCGUAUCCGUGUCGGCAACACGCUCUCUUGGAUUACUUUGUCAUCUUCUCCUUCCGUAAUCUUCCCCCCUUCUGCAAACGAGUUCUGACAUGGUUUCAACUCGUCAACGGCUUUACUGCAUGAAAAGUUGGCGGCAAAGUGAUGACCGAAGAUUGGAGGCUCUUGGUAUGAAGAAGAUUCUUGCUGUUGAAGAAGAAGAUUGGAGUGAAGAACAAUGGAGCUUGGAAUGAAAGGGAAGAAACAGUUAUGAAUUCCAAUUUAUAGUGAAGUCUGCCCCCUGAAAAGGAAGUUAUGCAGGUUGAUGCAGUUGGGAAUUAGGCCGCCAAGCACAUCCUGCAGCAUACUGUCAUGCUGGUGUAUUGCAGCAGCUAUUUCCUUGCUGGCUUGCGUCGAGUGCAGGAAGUUACAAGCUUAUUCAAUUGGAGAAUUUAAACUCAAAUCGGUUAGCGGUUGAGGUUUGUGAGCUGGUUCAAUUAACUUCAGUAUGCACCGUUUCUUUUGGUUCAGCUUUGUGGAUUGUUGCUCAGAAGGGAAUGAAAUGGAAUUGCUUGUGUCAAUUUUCCUGCCAAGUACUGCUUCUGCUAUCUGCCAUGGCAAGAAACCCGACUGUCAUGUUAACUUGUUUUCUUUUGCUUGUAAUUGGAUGAUAUUUCAUGUUGAAUUUAUCUUGUCCUGCGUGUGGAUUUAUUUUGCAGGCCAUGACUGAAUUGUGCUGCGGAACGAGGGAUGCACCUUGCUUGGAUUGCAUUGGAUUUGUAAUUGUGUUAAUCAUUGCAACCAUGUGUAGGUUGUAAUUUGGACGUAGUUUGGAGCUUGGUUGAAUAAUGUUCAUGCUCAUCCUUGUAACUUUCUUUUUGUGCAACGUUUGAAUCAGAUCAAUGUAAUGUAGGAACAUGUAAACCAUGAUUUGAAAGUGAGUUGGAAAUUUAUGAAAUUGCAAAGGUUUAUGUAGUUUGGAAAUUCUUGUAUUGUUGGAUCUGGAAUUUGAAUUUCAUUGUGGUUUGUAAAUGGGUUAGAAAAUUGGGUUAUGUAGGAAGUUCAAUGGUUGUAAACCUUUUUUAGAGAUUUGAACGAAUGGGUUUCGAAAUGAGAAAUCAAAUGGUACUGAAAUAUGUAUGUUGUAAUAGAUAAAUAUUGCAUCGGAAAUGAAUCAUGGUUUGAAAUGGUUA